rnacentral:rRNA from 1 species
CUUGACUGUAGCUUGGAAUUGGGUUUGGGCUCUUCUUGCGCAGCCUAGGUGGGAGGCGUUGACAAUUCCCUUCCGGGGGGAUUCGAGCCAUCAGUGAGAGACCACUCUGGAGGAGCUAGAAUUCUAAUGGCGAUCCUUGAAUCAGGACGCUUGACAGUUUCAGGCGGGCAGUUUGACUGGGGCGGUCGUCUCCUAAAAAGUAACGGAGACGUGCAAAGGUUCCCUCAGGCUGGACGGAAAUCAGCCGUAGAGUGUAAAGGCAGAAGGGAGCUUGACUGCAAGACCUACAAGUCGAGCAGGGGCGAAAGCCGGCCUUAGUGAUCCGACGGUACCGUGUGGAAGGGCCGUCGCUCAACGGAUAAAAGUUA